UGGCUUUUUUCUAUCACUUAGGUGAUGAGGUUGAAAGCAUGGUUAUUAAAUUUAUAAGUGACACAUCACUGGGAGGGAUGGUCAGCACCCCUCAGAUGAUGACAAACUCGGGAUUCAACAUGUCUUGCAUGGCGCAGAUACACCAAGUUCCAUUUUAUUUAUUUAUUUUUUAUUUCGAGAUGGAGUUUCACUCUUGUCACCCAGGCUGGAGUGCAGUGGCGUGAUCUCAGCUAACUGCUAUCUCUGCCUCCCAGGUUCAAGCGGUUCUCCUGCCUCAGCCUCCCAAGUAGCUGGAAUUACAGGUGCACACCACCACGCCUGGCUUUUUUUUUUUUUUUUUUUUUUUUUUUUUUGUAUUUUUAGCAGAGACGGGGUUUCACCAUGUUGGCCAGGCUGGUUUCUAACUCCUGACCUCAGGUGAUCUGCCUGCUUCAGCCUCCCAAAGUGCUGGGAUUACAGGCGUGAGCCACCACGCCCAGCCCCAUUUUCCAUUUAACAAGACCCCCUCUGCUGGCCAAAGCUCACCUUUCCUUCUGUGCCUGGGACCCCAUCUGUUCCUGGUCCACAGAAUCUUGCUCUCUGGACUUCCACCCUUCCCCUCCUGCGCCCUUCUCUAGCAGCUCUGCUCCUCCAGCCUGGGGAUAUGUUCAGCCUCUUCACCCUCACGUAGGAUGAGCCCACCCUCCUUUUCACACUCUUCCUGUCUCUUCUCUCCCCGACAGCCAAACUUUGCAAAACACUUAUCUACACCUGCUGCCUCUCCUUCAGCUCCCCUUACCUCCUCCUCAGCCCAUCUCCUCCGCUCCACUACCAGGCACCCUCCUUCCCACAGUUUUGGGGGGUUCUGGGAACAGCUUCUUUUUUGGCUCUGCCAUCAGAAACCCUGCCACUCCUUCCAUGGACACCAAAGCUCUGCCUACUCAAACACAUUUGGGUCCUUAUGGGGACUCACUCUCUGUCUUCUAUAGCUCCCCAGCCAUGCUCUGCUCUUUGCUUGGUCUGGAAUGUUCUCUUUUCGUUCACUUUCCCUCAGCCUAGCCUGCUCUUCCUUAUCUCCCAGGCUCCCGCGUGGCUCUCACUUCCCUGGCUCCCUGCCCGGGGGCCUUUCUCCACUGGUCCUUGGUGGCAUCCUGGGCUCCUCCGUCCUUGCAGAGAGGCAGUGGAGCGGGCUGACUAGGACUGUUGGCCCCAGUUUGGAACCCCGCUCUGCCUUCACUAGCUGGAAGUAGGGCUUGAUCACUUUACUUAACCUUCCGUGCUUCAGUUUCCUGAUCUGUAAACUGGGUAUAAACUCUCCUACUUGUGUUGUGAAGAUUGACUUAACCACCUCUGGGCUGUCUGGUUUCUCUAAGGUGUGUCUGGUAUCAGCAUAGCUCACCUGACAAUCUCUAAUCCCUGGCUCAGAGCCUGGCAUACUCAAGCUGUCCAGUAAGUACUCACAAAGUGACUAGCAAUGAUGUGAACCCCAUAUUUGGGUCAGAAGUCCCAGUAAGUCCCACGGGGAACAGUAGGUCAUAUGGCAGAGUCACGAAGGUUUAGGAUGAAAGAACAGAGCAAGUUGAGAUGUCUGGAAACAGCUAUGUCUUUAGACUGCUUUGAAACAACCUGGAAUCCAGAUCCAAGGUGGUGGCAUGCCAGCUGUUUUCAUGGCUGGAGUGUGAUGCCUGAGUUCCUGUGUCUUGUUGUAGACACUCGUGCCCCUGGCCUGCCAGAGAGAGUGAUACGGCUCCCAGGAAAGCUGGAGAACGCUGUUCUUCAAAUCAUAUUAGCAACUAACAGUACUUUUAAAAUGCUUUCCAUGGACUGACCUAUCUAAUUCUUGUAACAAGCCCAUGAGGCAGGUACCAUUAUAAUGCCCACUUCAUAGAUGAGGAAACAGGUUCAAUGGGGAUUAGAAGCUUAACCAAGGUCACACAGCCAGGAGGGGGUGCUGACUGAUCUGGGCGCUAAACACAGACCCUAGAGCUCAAGCCCUGAGGUCAAAUUGACCAGAGGUACAGACAGGGCCCCGGGAGCCCCCUCCAGCUACGUGAAUCCUGUUCUGAAGCCGUGUGUCUACACUUCUCAUUUGUCCCAGUGCAUGGAUCUAGGGCUGUGGGGAGGACACCAGAGGAGGCCACUGCUUGCUCAGCACAAGGGCAGGCGUUCUCCUGAUGUGAGCCCCUCUGCUCCAGGUCGGACCACCUUGCCAUGCAACGAGCUGCUCACUCCGUGAUGAUUUUAAGCAAAGGAGAGGAGCAACUUGGGCAUUUCCAGCUUGAGAGGAAGGCUGGCCUAGCAACUUCCAAGGUCCUACUUUUCGUGUGUCAUAAUAGAAACAGUAGCUGGGAUUUGUUGAGGGCUGACUGUCCACGCCCUGGGCUAGGAGCCUUCAUUAUCAUAGUCCUCGUGUAGGCAGUGUCCCCCUCCCAGUAGAUAGGAGGCUACAGCGACAUGGAGUGAUGGGCAGCCUGCCCGCAGGCGCAGGGCUUGUCGAUGUCAGGGUGUGGUCUGACCUAGGCAGCCCAGUGUCCAGGACUCACUCUCUCACUGGCUGCACUUCUCUUGGGAUUCUGUGACCCAGGGUCAGAGCCCAGGCGAAACUUAUGGCCAAAUCACCAUUCUGUUCUCAGUGCCAGGCUUGUCCUGCGAGGAAGCGCAUCAUUUUAUGCCAUUCAGGAAGGGAGUGCUAAGCACCUGUGUUCUUCUCCUGGGACAUAAGUGGCUUUUCUCAGCAUAGGAUUGCCUUAAGGACAGGUGUGCCCAGAAGCAAAGCUUUCCAGAAGCCAGAGGAGCUGCCCUUGUGAUGAUGGGACCAGCUGUGCCCAACUUGUCCCACCCUUAGGGCUUCGUCCUGCCUGGUGGCUGCACAGGCUUGGCCAGAAAGGACCCAUCCCCUGCCCCUCCCAUCAAGGAGGCAGCCCGAAUUGGGGACAGAGAGAGCCUACUUUCCCCACGUGGCCGGGGGAGAAAGGAGAACCACGGAGCUGGCUCACUAAUCACUCACCCCUACACCCAGGGAGCCAGAGGAUUUAGAAUAUGGCCGGGCUGUUCCCAAAAUGAGGUGCCGGUCAGAGGGAAAGCCAAAGCACGGAGGACAGGGUUAGAAUUCGCAAUUACCUCCAUGAGUUGGCAAAACGAAGGAAGCAACAGAGCGCGGUGCAGUGACAGGAGCGAGAGGGUGCUGGGCAAGGGCGGCCCUGAGCAGCAGGAAGUGAGGGAGAGCAGCCAUAUGCUCCUGGCCCCCAGGGAUGUGGAGCGUGGAGCUCUCACCAGGAGGGAGAGCCCAGCCUCCAUCUGAGUGGCCUUUAGCGGUCUUUUCCUCAUGGGCUUAAUGUCCGUUGCCUACAGAGUAAAGGCUAUUUGGGAAACCAAAGAUGGAGGAGGAGACGGCAUCCGUAGCUAGAUGUGCCACACCAACUGUGUACUGAACACUUCGUUAGGGCCUACAGGAGCUGAAAGGUGGAUUAGACACAGUCCUGGCCUCAGGGGCUUAACUCCAGGAGCAGAAAGACGAGACAAUACAAGAAAAUAAUUGACUCUACAGGUGCCCCUCCAGAAUUAUAGGCCACAUGCUCAGAACGCUCAGAGGGAGGUUGUGUGGUCGGAGUGAUCAUCACCAAGUGCUUGAAGGGCAGGUAAGAUUGAAUGGGCGAGGAGGAGAGUGGAGGGUACUCCUGGAGGAUGGAAAACGGGGGUCCACAAGAGCCUGGAAAACGGCGAUGCAUAAGGGACUAAAGGUUUGCAGAAGGGCACAGUGAUCAAUUCCUUUGGAAAGAUUGGUUGUGGCUUUUCUGUAAACAGACAGGAGUGAUUAAAGAUUUGGGACAACAGCCAGGAAGGAACUGGAACUCUGUGUUCUAGUGUGGAAGGCUGCUCUGAGCAGGAGGAAUUUUUUUUUUUUUUCAUUAAACAUAUGGACUGUGUCCCUGGUGGGGUGGAAGAUGUGUGGGAGCAGGUAGGGGUCGCUGCUGUGGAGGUGGCAAAUGGCUCAGUUGUUCUAAUGGCGUGGGAAUGGGGCAAGGUUGGACCCUCCAAAGGGGCUUGGAGAGGAGGCUUUUGGGGGCCUACAGUGAGAAACCCACAGAGGAGGAGAUGUGAGGAGCAUAGUUCAUUAGCAGCACCUUGAGAGCCAGAGAAGGAGGAUGGCAAGAUGGGACUCCAGAUUCAUUGAUUCCUUCGUUCAUUCAAAAGUGAUUUUGGUCCUUUAUUGGAUGUCAAGCGUCAGCAAUACAGUGAACAAAACAAAGUCCCUAGUCUCAUGGUGUUUACAUUCAGCUGGAGGAGGCAGAAAAUAAACCCACGGACAUAUACUUGAAAUCAGGCAAUAAGGCUUUGAAGAGAAAGAGAGCAGGAAAAGAAAGUAGGAAGUGAUGAGAAGUGAAAUGAAGGAACCUGAUUUGAGGAAGGACCACUGAAGCCGAGACCCAAAUGACUGAGCCAUGUGUGACCAUCUGGAGAAAGGGUGUUUAGGGCAGAAGUGAAAUCCUGCUUGGUAUGAAGAAGAGACCAGAGUGGUUGGAGUAGAGAGAGCCAGGAUAGAGACAUGUUAAGGGCUAGAAGUCAGAGAUGAGGGGCCUUAUGGGUCACACUACAUCUUGAGUUUCAUUCUGGAUGUCAUGGGAGUUCUUGUAGGGCUUAUAGCGAGUAGAGAUAUGAUCUGACAUGUGGUUUUCAUAAUCACUCUGGCCACCAUCUUGAGACUAGAUUCUGUUUUUUGUUUUUGUUUUUUUUUUGAGAUGCAGUCUUGCUGUGUCACCCAAGUUGGAGUGUGCAGUGGUGCAAUCUCUGUUCACUGCAACCUCCGCCUCUGGGGUUCAAGCAAUUCUCCUGCCUAAGCCUCUCAAGUAGCUGGAAUUACAGGCUCGUGCCACCAUGCCUGGCUAAUUUUUGUAUUUUUAGUAGAGACAGGGUUUCACCAUGUCGACCAGGCUGGUCUUAAACUCCUGACCUCAAGUGAUCCGCCCGUCUCAGCCUCCUAAAAUGCUGGGAUUACAGGUGUGAGCCGUUGCACCUGGCUGAGACUAGAUUCUGGAGGGGCAAAGGUGGCGGAGGGGAGGUGGCCUAGGAAGUGGAAACUAUUGCAUCACCCGGGUGAUGGGAGGGAGAUGGGACUUGGACUGGAAUGUCAGUGAUGGAAGAUGUGAGAAAGACUUUCUUCAGGGUUUAUUUUUCUUAACUUGUUAUUUUGAACAAUUUCAAACCAAUGGAAUAUUUGCAAGAAUGAUACAGUGAACACCCAUACCCCCUUACUAGUUGUUAACGUUGUAACAUAUUUGCUUCUCUUUAUCUCUCUGUCUUCCUCCCUCUCCUUUUCCUUAACAUCAUCAUCAUCGUUGUCACCACCACCACCACCAUCAUCAUCCUCACCAUCACCAAUACCAUCAUCAUCCUCACCAUGACCAUCACCACUGCCAUUGACAUCACCACCACCAUCAUCACCAUCACCACCAUUAUCAUCAUCACCACUGCUGUCAACACCAUCAUCACCACGACCAUCAUCACCAUCAUCAUCAUCAUCAUUUUUGAACCAUGUGAGAACAAGUUGCCAAUAUUAUGACUCUUCAUUCAGGACGACUUCAAUAGGUAUCUUCUCAGUUCAAGGAUGUUCACUUACAUAACUAUGAUACAAUUACCAGGUUUAUGAAAUUUGUCAUUGUUUUAAUACUAAUAUCUAAAGGAGAGUUCAGGAUUUAUUUGUAGGUAUUUGCUAAUGGAUUGUAUGGAGGGUACGAGGGGAAGACAGGAGUCACAGAUGAUUCCAAGGACUUUUGGCCAGACCAAACAGUUGAUGAGCAUGACCAGGUCAAUCCAAGGACUUGAAAUGAAUAGCUGAGAGGUCUUACCCAAAGGAAAAUUGGAAAUGUUUGAGUUUUGGCAGAUGAGCUGAGCUGGGGUGUUCAGUUCUCCAGUGGACGUUGCCAGAGUAAUUACAAGGGAAGUCAAAGAAUCUGGUCUCUCCCUCCCCAUCCCCGGUUUCUCUUUCUCUCUCUCUCUCUCUCUCUCUCUCUCUCUCUCUCUCUCACACACACACACACACACACACACACACACACACACACCCCGCAUGUACGUAUACAGACUUUCUUCUCCCAGAGAUCUAGACCUGAGUGUAGCCAUGGGCAUAUCUCAUCAGAAUGAUAAGCAAAUCAAUAAUGAUGCAUUGGACUGUAAGUGCCUUGAGUACAGGGAUAUGUCUGCUUUGCUCACUCUAUUCACAGUGCCAGUGCAUUUUGCACAGAUCUUGGCACUUAGUAGGCAUUCAAUAACUAUUUCUUGAAUAAACAAGUGACAGAAUGAAUGCCCUUAUUUAAUACGUUAUACAGAGUGCAACGAUUAUAAUUAUGUAUGCUCACAAAUAACUGAAUUAUCUAAAGUAAAAGUUACUGCUACAGAAGAGAAGUUUCUCUCUUCUGUGAAAGAAGUCAGUUCAGGGAUUCAGGGAGAAUAUGGGCUCUACAGUGUCCAGGCAACCAGAUUCCUUCUAUCUGGUUGCUCUGGCUUCCUAAGCACGUGCCUUCCAUGUCAUAGCCCAAGAUGGCUGCCUGAGCUCAUGCCAUCAUGUCUGCGUUCCAGACAUCAGGAGGGAGAAAGGACCAAGAAGAUCAUACCUCGUUUCUUUAAGAACACUUGUUUGAAGUUGUCAUACCACUCCUACUUACAUCACAUUAACUAAUGUGGUUUUUCUUUUCAGUGGCCUUGUGAUCAAUUAAAAUAUGGGAGUUCUUUGACUAGAGAAGAAUGGCUAUUGGGGGCUAUUAAUGAUUUGUGUCACAGUGUGGCCCACAAGGGGACUGUGUAAUGCUUCUACCACAAACCGUUGGUAUUAAAAAAUAUCAGGUGAAGUGAGCUGCUGUGGCUGUCCUCUGUGCUUUCCACUGUAAAUAUGAGCAGUUAUGUCGCUAGAUGGACUGUGAGUGCUUAGAAUGGGGAGGGUCACUGGGAGACUCCUGGAGAGAUUAGUGAAAGCUCUAA
rnacentral:lncRNA from 10 species